rnacentral:rRNA from 1 species
GACGAACGCUGGCGGCGUGCUUAACACAUGCAAGUCGAACGGAAAGGCCCUGCUUUUGUGGGGUGCUCGAGUGGCGAACGGGUGAGUAACACGUGAGUAACCUGCCCUUGACUUUGGGAUAACUUCAGGAAACUGGGGCUAAUACCGGAUCGGAGCUCCUGCUGCAUUGUGGGGGUUGGAAAGUUUCGGCGGUUGGGGAUGGACUCGCGGCUUAUCAGCUUGUUGGUGGGGUAGUGGCUUACCAAGGCUUUGACGGGUAGCCGGCCUGAGAGGGUGACCGGCCACAGUGGGACUGAGAUACGGAGCAGACGCCUACGGGAGGCAGCAGUGGGGAGUAUGGCACAAUGGGCGGAAGCCUGAUGCAGCAACGCCGCGUGCGGGAUGACGGCCUUCGGGUUGUAAAACGCUUUCGCCUGUGACGAAGCGGGAGUGACGGUAAUGGGUAAAGAAGCACCGGCUAACUACGUG